rnacentral:tRNA from 1 species
GGUUCUAUGGUGUAAUGGUUAGCACUCUGGACUUUGAAUCCAGCGAUCCGAGUUCGAGUCUCGGUGGAACCU